AGGAUUCCCCUAGUAACGGCGAGUGAAGAGGGAAAAGCUCAAAUUUAAAAUCUGGCGGUCUACGGCCGUCCGAGUUGUAAUCUAGAGAAGUGUUUUCCGCGCUGGACCGUGUACAAGUCCUUUGGAACAAGGCGUCAUAGAGGGUGAGAAUCCCGUCUACGACACGGACUGCCAAGCGCUUUGUGAUACACUCUCAACGAGUCGAGUUGUUUGGGAAUGCAGCUCAAAAUGGGUGGUAAAUUCCAUCUAAAGCUAAAUAUGGGCGAAAGACCGAUAGCGAACAAGUACCGUGAGGGAAAGAUGAAAAGCACUUUGGAAAGAGAGUUAAACAGUACGUGAAAUUGUUGAAAGGGAAACGCUUGAAGUCAGUCGCGUCUUCAGAAAUUCAGCUGGGCUUCUGCCCUGUGUACUUUUCUGUGGGACGGGCCAGCAUCAGUUUCGGCUGCCAGAAAAAGGUGGGAGGAAGGUGGCACCUCCGGGUGUGUUAUAGCCUCCGAUCGUAUGUGGCAGCUGGGACUGAGGACCGCAGCACGCCUUCAUGGCCGGGGUUCGCCCACGUAACGUGCUUAGGAUGCUGGCGUAAUGGCUUUAAGCGACCCGUCUUGAAACACGGACCAAGGAGUCUAACAUGCCUGCGAGUAUUUGGGUGGCAAACCCAUAUGCGCAAUGAAAGUGAACGGUUGGGACUUCUGUCAUGGAAGGCACCGACGCCCGGACCAGACCUAUUGUGACGGAUCCGAGGUAGAGCAUGUAUGUUGGGACCCGAAAGAUGGUGAACUAUGCCUGAGUAGGGUGAAGCCAGAGGAAACUCUGGUGGAGGCUCGUAGCGAUUCUGACGUGCAAAUCGAUCGUCGAACUUGGGUAUAGGGGCGAAAGACUAAUCGAACCAU
rnacentral:rRNA from 1 species